UCCCUGGUGGUCCAGUGGUUAGGACUCUGCAGUCUCAAUGCAGGGGGCCCAGGUUCAAUCCCUAGUCAGGGAA
rfam:TPA: Bos taurus chromosome 2, whole genome shotgun sequence.